AAGUCACCAAUUUGAUAUACCUGUCUCUUGACCUUUUUGUCAAAUGCCUGGAUCAUGCGCUUCUGAUAUAUCUGCCUAUGACAAACAGCCGCGAGUCUCUUCAAUCAAAUUUAUCUGAUCGAGUCGAGUCUGAAUCCAUUCAUCUUCAUCUAAGCCCGCCUCUUUCAUGAUUCUUAGAGAGGGAAUCUGAACUUCCACUGGUAAGAUGGCUUCCAUUCCAUAGAC
rnacentral:lncRNA from 1 species